GUCCUUGAACCAUUUUUAUUAUUGGUUUAUACUACUACUUCAUUUUUAAAAAUUUCAAAAAUUAAAAUCUUUGUGCUGCUGUUACGUCAUAGAUUUUAUCUUUACACUACUUGGUUGGAAUCGUUGACUGAAUAAUUUCCAACAUUACCCUGCUUAACCCACGGGGUUAAAGAUUUUGAUUCGCCAUUUGUAUCCUUGCUUUUAUUUUAUUCGAAUCAGCAUUAUUAGCUUGUUACAUUUGGAUUAACAUAACCCCAAAUUUUGAUUUUAAAAAAAUGUUCAAGUUUUUACUUUUCAUUGUUUGCACUUAUUAUUCAUUGAUCUCUCUAUUAUACGUCAUUUAGCUACUAGUAUAGUGCGUGCAUAGUGGUCGACUGGUCGUCUUGUCACUCCUCGUUUCAUCACCUAGACAUGGACUCUUCACAAUUUGAGGAACCCACUAGACAAUUAGCUCAACUUGUCACUAGCCAGCAACACUUACAAACUCAAUUAGCAGCUUUCCAAACCGAGAUGACUGCUACUCGUGAAAAGAGCAGAGAUCAAGUUGCUAGUCUGAACAAUUUUAAGCAAAUCCCUCAUUCGAUUAAUGUUAAUAAUUCUAAAGUAUCCCACAAUAGACAAUAUUGUCGCCAACAAGGUGAUCAAAAAUAUUUUCAAUACGAUCAUAAGGAGAGUUCUUUUAGAGACACUUCUACUUUUGAUGGUUGCUUAGAUUUUGAAGUUCUUACUCAAUGGAAUGCCCUUAAAUAAGGGAAUCAGUUAGUGAUUGAGUAUAUUGCUCAAUUUGAGGAGUUUCGAAUGAAGUAUCAUGUCAUUGAGGAUGAAGUCUUAACUUUGAAUAGGUUUAUACAAGGCCUAAAAGAUGAACUUAGGCGUGGGCUCUUCUUUCGAGGUGUCACUACUCUUGAUCACACUUAUUCUUUAGCUCGGGACUACGAGUUACUUAUUAGUGCUCCAUAUGAAAAGCGUAGUCACCAUCGUUCACCCAUCUCUUCACACCACCUCGUCAUAAGUCUAUCAUAGAGCCUUUCUUGUCUAAUGUUCCUCCCAUUUGGGAAAAUAAGUGUAAAGGUCGUGAUAUCCCAAGACCUUCUUCUUCGUAUCGAAGGCGUAGUGACAUUCCCUCUUUCGUCUCAUCAACACCACCUUCUCCUAUUAAGUUCCUCCUAGGUCUUCCCCCAUCUAAUGCUCCUCCUCUGUUGGACAAUAAAGGUUAAGACUUUGAAACUUCAAUAACUUCUUCUCAUUUAAAGUGCUUCAACUUUAAGGAUUUUGGUCACAUCUCUUCUAAAUGUUCUAAUCGAGCCUUAAUCAUUGAAAAACAAAAGAAUAUGAUAGAUGAGCGAUUAGAAAAUUAGAUCUAUGAACCUAAACUUGAAGAAUUUGAUGACUUGGAUGAUAGUGAGGACACCCCUUAGAUAGUAUUCGGACUUUUCCUAUGAGUCUAGGUAUUGUACCCCUUGUUCCCGAUACCUCUCAGUCAAAUGUUGCGUGUCCUACUUUUAUCCCACCCAAAGGUAUUGAUGAUUUGUAUA
rnacentral:lncRNA from 1 species